GGGGAUAUAGCUCAGUUGGUAGAGCGCUUGCCUUGUAUGCAUAAGGCCCUGGGUUCAAUCCCUAGCACCACCA
rfam:Ictidomys tridecemlineatus contig021820, whole genome shotgun sequence.